UACGUAGGCAGCGAGCGUUGUUCGGAUUUACUGGGCGUAAAGGGUGUGUAGGCGGUUGUUUAAGUUUGGCGUGAAAUCUCCCGGCUCAACUGGGAGGGUGCGUCGAAUACUGAAUGACUUGGAGUGCGGGAGAGGAAAGUGGAAUUCCUGGUGUAGCGGUGAAAUGCGUAGAUAUCAGGAGGAACACCGGUGGUGUAGACGGCUUUCUGGACCGUAACUGACGCCGAGACACGAAAGCGUGGGUAGCAAACAGG
rnacentral:rRNA from 1 species